rnacentral:rRNA from 1 species
GGGGAAUAGUUGCACAAUGGGCGCAAGCCUGAUGCAGCCAUGUCCGCGUGUAUUGAAGAAGGCCUUCGGGUUGUAAAGUACUUUCAGCAGUGAGGAAGGUGGGUAUGUUAAUAGCAUAUUCAUUUGACGUUAGCUGCAGAAGAAGCACCGGCUAACUCCGUGCCAGCAGCCGCGGUAAUACGGAGGGUGCGAGCGUUAAUCGGAAUUACUGGGCGUAAAGCGCAUGCAGGUGGUUUGUUAAGUCAGAUGUGAAAGCCCGGGGCUCAACCUCGGAAUUGCAUUUGAAACUGGCAAACUAGAGUACUGUAGAGGGGGGUAGAAUUUCAGGUGUAGCGGUGAAAUGCGUAGAGAUCUGAAGGAAUACCGGUGGCGAAGGCGGCCCCCUGGACAGAUACUGACACUCAGAUGCGAAAGCGUGGGGAGCAAACAGGAUUAGAUACCCUGGUAG